rnacentral:rRNA from 1 species
AUGAUGGGUAGGGGAGCUUCCCAUACGGGUUGAAGCAUGACCGUAAGGACAUGUGGACAGUAUGGGAGUGAGAAUGUUGGCAUGAGUAGCGAGAUGUGGGUGAGAAUCCCACAGGCCGUAAACCCAAGGUUUCCAGGGGAAGGUUCGUCCGCCCUGGGUUAGUCGGGACCUAAGCUGAGGCCGAAAGGCGUAGGUGAUGGACAACAGGUUGAUAUUCCUGUACUACCGAUAACCGUUUGAGAGAAGGGAUGACACAGUAGGAUAAGCUAAGCACACUGUUGGUUAUGUGUGCCCAAGCAUUGAGGCAGUCAAAGUAGGCAAAUCCGCUUUGAUAAUGCUGGGAUGUGAUGGGGAGCGAAAUUUAGUAGCGAAGUAGCUGAUUUCACACUGUCAAGAAAAGUCUCUAUCGAGGUUAAAGGUACCCGUACCGCAAACCGACACAGGUGGGUGAGGAGAGUAUCCUAAGGCCAGCGAGAGAACUGUUGUUAAGGAACUCGGCAAAAUGACCCCGUAACUUAGGGAUAAGGGGUGCCACCAUCAGGUGGCCGCAGAGAAUAGGCCCAAGCGACUGUUUACCAAAAACAUAGGUUUCUGCUAAGUCGCAAGACGAUGUAUAGGAGCUGACGCCUGCCCGGUGCUGGAAGGUUAAGGGGAUCUGUUAGAG